AAUAAACAGUUUCACCACCAGAUAACAAGAAAAGGUCAUCAAACAGUGCAAAAACUUCACUACUGGGCUGGUGAAUGGAAGAGACAACGGUCCUCCCAUCGCGAGCUAUGUUCCGGAGAGAUUGAACCACAAAGAAAGCAGAGGCACUGUCAAGGCCGCUAGUAGGUUCAUCCAGGAAUAACAUUUUGGGCAUCGUGAGGAUCUCAAGUGCAAUGCUAAGUCUCUUCUUCUCCCCACCACUUAUUCCUCUUC
rnacentral:lncRNA from 1 species